GACAGAGGGUGCAAUCGUUGUUCGGAAUUAUUGGGCGUAAAGAGCUCGUAGGCGGUUUGUCGCGUCUGCCGUGAAAGUCCGGGACUCAACUCCGGAUCUGCGGUGGGUACGGGCAGACUAGAGUGAUGUAGGGGAGACUGGAAUUCCUGGUGUAGCGGUGAAAUGCGCAGAUAUCAGGAGGAACACCGAUGGCGAAGGCAGGUCUCUGGGCAUUAACUGACGCUGAGGAGCGAAAGCAUGGGGAGCGAACAGG
rnacentral:rRNA from 1 species